UCAAAUUUGGGUCAGCAUAACUCAAAAUAAUAACUUCUACUGAAACGUCAAACGCUGAGUAACUGUGAUUUAUUAUUUUGAGUAGCUUUGACUCAUAUUUGUAUAAAUUGUAUCCGAACUCAAAUAUGAGUUCACCGCGAAAAUUUCGAGAAGUCCAACGAUUACUGGUAGAUCCUCAUCAUUACGACGACGACAUUUAAACGCAUGCUUGAAGCAACGGGAAACAGCAAGUUUGAAGAGCGUAACUAACAUGAUGGUGCCAUAGUGAACAGUUUUCAGGACUGAUCAGAUUGAACAACAUAUCUCUCACCAGAUACAAUGUUUCGGAAAUUUAUUGGCAACCCCCAGAAACGCUCCCAGACGUAUCAUAACAAGCGACCACCGAAGAUGUUUGAGGACCUUUAUUUAUUAUUAUGUUUAUUAGUUUAGUCACAGAUAUCUGUGGUUUAAUAUUGUAUUAUCCUGAAAGAGGAUAUGAACUACAGAAAAAGAUUAUCGCCAGGCGUUGAUUUUCUCUCAGUCAUGUUUUGUUCAAUGACAGCAACAGUUUUGUUCAAUGACGGCAGUGACAAUCUUUCUCUGUAGUUUAAUAACCUCUUUAAUGUUGCUGUAAUAAAUGUUAUUUUGUUUUUUUU